UACGUAGGGGGCAAGCGUUGUCCGGAAUCAUUGGGCGUAAAGAGCGUGUAGGCGGCCCGGUAAGUCCGCUGUGAAAGUCGGGGGCUCAACCCUCGAAUGCCGGUGGAUACUGUCGGGCUAGAGUCCGGGAGAGGAGAGUGGAAUUCCGUGGUGUAGCGGUGAAAUGCGCAGAUAUCAGGAGGAACACCGGUGGCGAAGGCGGUUCUCUGGGCAUUACCUGACGCUGAGGAGCGAAAGUGUGGGGAGCGAACAGG
rnacentral:rRNA from 1 species